CACCGCGGUUAGACGAGCGACCCAAGUUGAUAAACAUCGGCGUAAAGCGUGGUUAAGACCAAAUUAAGAACUAAAGCCGAACUACCUCAAUGCAGUUAUACGUGACCAUCGAGACCUAGAAGUACAAUUACGAAGGUGGCUUUAUAAAUCUGAACCCACGAAAGCUAAGGAA
rnacentral:rRNA from 1 species